rnacentral:rRNA from 1 species
GUGGGGAAUAUUGGACAAUGGGCGCAAGCCUGAUCCAGCAAUGCCGCGUGGGUGAAGAAGGUCUUCGGAUUGUAAAGCCCUUUCGACAGGGACGAUGAUGACGGUACCUGUAGAAGAAGCCCCGGCUAACUUCGUGCCAGCAGCCGCGGUAAUACGAAGGGGGCUAGCGUUACUCGGAAUGACUGGGCGUAAAGGGCGCGUAGGCUGUUUGGUAAGUUGGGCGUGAAAUUCCUGGGCUUAACCUGGGGGCUGCGUCCAAGACUGCCUGACUUGAGGAUGGAAGAGGCUCGUGGAAUUCCCAGUGUAGAGGUGAAAUUCGUAGAUAUUGGGAAGAACACCGGUGGCGAAGGCGGCGAGCUGGUCCAUUACUGACGCUGAGGCGCGAUAGCGUGGGGAGCAAACAGGAUUAGAAACCCUUGUAGUCC